CUGUGACACAAUGUUCAACGGCCGCGGUAUCUUGACCGUGUGAAGGUAGCGUAAUCAUUUGUCUUUUAAAUGGAGACCUGUAUGAAUGGCGUAACGAGAGCUUAACUGUCUCACUCUUUUAGUCGAUGAAAUUGAUCUCCCCGUGCAGAAGCGGGGAUAAACACAUAAGACGAAAAGACCCUAUGGAGCUUCAGAAUCUAGAGCAGCCCAAACGAAUUUAAACAAAAUUCAGGACCCUGCUCUCACAUUUCUUCGGUUGGGGCGACCAUGGAGAAAAACAAAACCUCCACGAAAAAAGUACCAAUACUUGAAUGAAUUAACGAGAUACAACUCUAAAUUCCAGAAUAUCUGCUUUUAAAUGAUCCGGCCUAUUUUUAAGCCGACCAACGAAUCAAGUUACCCUAGGGAUAACAGCGCAAUCCCCUUCUAGAGCCCACAUCGACAAGGG
rnacentral:rRNA from 1 species